GACGAACGCUGGCGGCGUGCUUAACACAUGCAAGUCGAGCGAUGAGAUCACUUCGGUGAAGGAUUAGCGGCGAACGGGUGAGGAACACGUGAAGAAUCUGCCUUCAACUCUGGGAUAACUCCGGGAAACCGGGGCUAAUACCGGAUAUGAGCCUUGAUCGCAUGAUCGGGGCUGGAAAGUUUUUCGGUUGAAGAUGACUUCGCGGCCUAUCAGCUUGUUGGUGAGGUAAUGGCUCACCAAGGCGACGACGGGUAGCCGGCCUGAGAGGGCGACCGGCCACACUGGGACUGAGACACGGCCCAGACUCCUACGGGAGGCAGCAGUGGGGAAUAUUGGGCAAUGGAGGAAACUCUGACCCAGCGACGCCGCGUGCGGGAUGAAGGCCUUCGGGUUGUAAACCGCUUUCAGCAGGGAAUAAGCGCAAGUGAAGGUACCUGCAGAAGAAGCACCGGCUAACUAUGUGCCAGCAGCCGCGGUAAUACAUAGGGUGCAAGCGUUGUCCGGAAUUAUUGGGCGUAAAGAGCUCGUAGGUGGUUUGUUACGUCGGUUGUGAAAUUCAGGGGCUCAACCCCUGACUUGCAGCCGAUACGGGCAAGCUAGAGUAUGGUAGGGGAGACUGGAAUUCCUGGUGUAGCGGUG
rnacentral:rRNA from 1 species